CUUUACUUGGUACACCUGCAGCCACUUGCUGCACUCUUGAUUGCAUGAGCAGAAGGCAGCUGUAGGUACCUAACAUGCCAAUCAACGAAUGACUGAGGAGCAGUACUUAACAGCCCAGGACCAGAGCGGACUUCUUUCCCCUCCACUGUUCACACGAUUCUCAUAUCAACAUGGCGCCCCCAAAGCAUAAUGUUUGUUGCCCACUCUGCCGUUCUGAAUUUACCUAUAUAGGCAGGCACCUAAGAAAUAGUCAUGGAAUUAAAAAUUCAGAAGAGCGAGAAAUAUUGAUCAAGUACAGUAGUGGGAGGGUCAAUAUUAGAAAAAUGCCCUGUCCAGUGGAGGGCUGCAGUUAUGCUAGCACAAGGCUGGACAGGCAUAUUGCUCAAGCUCACCCGGAGAUGGAGGGGGAGAGGAAAGCCCAGGUGAUAACUGAUUUGAAGUACCAGGUAACAGUGCACAUGCUGGGAGCUUUGAGCGCCACAAACCCGAGCCCUCCGAUGGUCUCACGUUUACACAUGGACCCAAUAGCAAGAGAGGAAGCAAAUCGGUAUCAUCCAACAUCAGAACCCCUUGAUGACGAACCAUCGCCUUCAUCCUGCAUCUCGUGCAAACAGCUUGAGGCAAAGAACCUGCAGCUUACAUCAGACUUGGGGCAACUAAGAAAGAAAUUGCUGUACCAGCACAGAUGGGCUGAAAGGGCAAAAAAAAAAAAAAAAA